AAAUUUAGGUUACACUUAAACCAACGGCCUUCAAAGCCCUAGACAAGAACUCCACCCUCUUAAUUUCU
rnacentral:tRNA from 1 species